rnacentral:rRNA from 1 species
AUACGGAGGGUGCGAGCGUUGUCCGGAAUUAUUGGGCGUAAAGAGCUCGUAGGCGGUUUGUUGCGUCGGCUGUGAAAUCCCGAGGCUCAACCUCGGGUCUGCAGUCGCUACGGGCAAACUAGAGUGUUGCCGGGGAGACUGGAAUUCCUGGUGUAGCGGUGCAAGGCGCAGAUAUAAGGAGGAACUCCGGUGGCGAAGGCGGGUCUCUGGGAAACAACUGACGCUGAGGAGCGAAAGCGUGGGGAGCGAACAGGAUUAGAUACCCUGGUAGUCCACGCCGUAAACGUUGGGCGCUAGGUGUGGGGCUCAUUCCACGAGUUCCGUGCCGCAGCUAACGCAUUAAGCGCCCCGCCUGGGGAGUACGGCCGCAAGGCUAAAACUUAAAGGAAUUGACGGGG